CUUGCUAUCAGGCGUCGAGCGGCGGACGGGUGAGUAAUACUUAGGAAUCUACCUAGUAGUGGGGGAUAGCACGGGGAAACUCGUAUUAAUACCGCAUACGACCUACGGGAGAAAGGGGGCAGUUUACUGCUCUCGCUAUUAGAUGAGCCUAAGUCGGAUUAGCUAGAUGGUGGGGUAAAGGCCUACCAUGGCGACGAUCUGUAGCUGGUCUGAGAGGAUGAUCAGCCACACCGGGACUGAGACACGGCCCGGACUCCUACGGGAGGCAGCAGUGGGGAAUAUUGGACAAUGGGGGAAACCCUGAUCCAGCCAUGCCGCGUGUGUGAAGAAGGCCUUUUGGUUGUAAAGCACUUUAAGCAGUGAAGAAGACUCCGUGGUUAAUACCCACGGACGAUGACAUUAGCUGCAGAAUAAGCACCGGCUAACUCUGUGCCAGCAGCCGCGGUAAUACAGAGGGUGCAAGCGUUAAUCGGAAUUACUGGGCGUAAAGGGAGCGUAGGUGGCUCGAUAAGUCAGAUGUGAAAUCCCCGGGCUCAACCUGGGAACUGCAUCUGAUACUGUUGAGCUAGAGUAUGUGAGAGGAAGGUAGAAUUCCAGGUGUAGCGGUGAAAUGCGUAGAGAUCUGGAGGAAUACCGAUGGCGAAGGCAGCCUUCUGGCAUAAUACUGACACUGAGGCUCGAAAGCGUGGGUAGCAAACAGGAUUAGAUACCCUGGUAGUCCACGCCGUAAACGAUGUCUACUAGUCGUUGGGUCCCUUGAGGACUUAGUGACGCAGCUAACGCAAUAAGUAGACCGCCUGGGGAGUACGGCCGCAAGGUUAAAACUCAAAUGAAUUGACGGGGGCCCGCACAAGCGGUGGAGCAUGUGGUUUAAUUCGAUGCAACGCGAAGAACCUUACCUGGUCUUGACAUAUCUAGAAUCCUGCAGAGAUGCGGGAGUGCCUUCGGGAAUUAGAAUACAGGUGCUGCAU
rnacentral:rRNA from 1 species